rnacentral:misc_RNA from 1 species
UUUGAGACGGCGCCGCCCGCCCGCCACGUCCGGUGCCAUAGCGCCGGAAAAGACGAAUGGGGAAAGGACUCGCCGCGGGCGCAGUCACAGUGUGCGCCUUCGCCGUAUCGCCGUCGUUCCUUUUCUCUUGUUGUGCGUCGCGCGCCGCAUUGCUUGCAGCGCCCCCCCCCCCCCUUAACGAUCCGACUCCGGAAUCUGUGAGCGAGAGAGGGAGCGCGCGCACCCUAAACUUCUCCUCUCCGCACAUCUCUGCUCUUCUUCUUUCCUGAAGCUCAUUGUCCUCUGUGCUAGUUCUCCUUGGAUGCGGCAAGUGCGUAGUUGCUGGUGUGCUGCGAGAAGGCGUUGCUGUGCGACCCUGCCCGCAACGAUGUGUGGCUAGAUGCCUUGAGGGUGUGUGCAGGUGCCUCGCCUGGAAAAGCGCACAUACACGUGUCCUGAGCCACCACGGAGCAGCUCGUGCGCCUCCUCGUUCACAAGCUUGUGGAGCGGAACGCUGAGGCUCUUCGCGCUGCUGACGGCACCGCUGCAGAUACGGUGCACCCAAGCGACAGCCGCGGCGGCAGCGGCAGUGACGACUGCCAUGUUAUGGCUGCCUUGAUCUUCUUGCGUCCCCUUGAUACUUCUGCAAGGACAACCGGUGCAUCACCUCGUCCACGUUGUUUCCUGCUCGCUGGCGUGUUUUGGCGUGCAACGCCGCCGCGGUACCAGACCGUCAUGACGAUGAACGCAGAGAUGGACGCUGCUGUGAGCACCGCCCCACACUGUGUAUAUGGGAAUGCGUGUGCGUGUGGGGUGGCACCAGCCGGUUUUCAUUCACACAGGAGUGACCUCCCUCCUGCGACGCCAAGGUGAAAGCCUUGCUGUCGUCGCCGAGCACGAGGUCGACUCCGGUAACCGCAUCCACCGCGACCCUCCCCUUCCUUCCACACCAUACACCACCAGAGAGAACAGAUGCGACCGCAGAGACACAGGCGUAGAUGCACAGCCACGCCGUCACUGGCGUUUUGGCUUCACGUUUUUUCAUGCUCGUUCCGUUUGACUUUCCUUUCGUACACUGCCUUAGCACCAUCGCUUCUCGGUUUCUCUAUCUUCCUAUCGCCCUUCCGCUCUCUCAGCACGUUGGCUCUGCGUGUGUGUGUGCGUAUGCCCGACAGUUUCGCUUUCACCGCCACUCCCCUCUCCUCUUGUGCCACUCUAGUCGCACAUAGGUGUUGCAUGGCAUCUCCGCCCUUCCACACUC